UUCCAAACUAUGGAAGCAUGUGUGUCCGGGCUAAUAGAUUCGCAAAACUUUUUCCAGCUUGCGGACUUCUUUUUCUUAAAUAAUUUUUUCGCGUCGUUAACAGAUUUACAAUAUAUAGUGUAGUUUUCAUAUGUAGAAUUAUUGUUAUAAUUUCUUUCAGCCUGUUUUCUUUUAUUUAUAGCGGCUGAACAGUCAAUGUCCCACCAAGGAGGUGAUGGGGAGAGAAAUGAGAAUGGGAAAGUGAUCACUACCGUGACUAUAUGAUAAAACUGACCAAUGUAAAAGAGAUGAUAGAUUUGAAGUACAAAUAGAUAAAUCGGGAGCACUAUAACCCUCAUUGGGUGCAGUAUGCCUCGUUGGAAACCCUGUAUUGAGAAUGCAUAACUUGUGGAAAUCUAAUAAAUCUAAUAUUUCGAAACCCCAUUGAUUAUUAUUACUGCUACCCCAAGACAAGUGUUGAGCAUUAAAAUCACCAAGAAUUAUAAAAGGUUUUGAUGCAGCAAUUAUAGAGACAUUGGGAUUAUGUAAUGGAAGUGAAAUAUGUACAUAUGAAUGAUGAUGGUUGAUGAGUAAAGCGGUACCGCCAAACCCAUCGGAUCUGUCCUCUCUUAUACAGGUAUAGCCAGGAAUCUUAAAAAGAGAAUCUGGCUUGAGCCAUGUUUCUUGAAGAGCAAAGACAAUUGGGCAAUUCUUACUAGUAGCUAUAUGGGAAGCUUGGCAUAAACAACAAAACACAGAAUCCUCAUCUACUGAACAUUUGUCACCCGAGUGACUCUGACCACAACGAAAACAUCUGGGAGUCGAUCUGCACUGUGACUUAACAUGCCCAUACCUACAGCAAUUGUAACACUGUAUGGUAGGGUAAAUGUAUAAGUCAACAGGCAAAGAGUUAUAGCAUAUAAAAAUUCUUUUAGGUAAUGUUUGGCCAUCAAAUGUAAAAACUACUGACUCAGUAUUAACAAACUGUGCAGUAUUAUU